CUUGCCUUGGGGGUAACACCCAAAGUUUCUUUGCUGUGAGGACAGUGACGUGGGGCUUCUUCAAAUUUGUCUUCUGUCUUUUUUGCACUGUUAACAGAGCUUUUCAACAGACACACAAACUUUUCAACUAACGACAACAAGUUCUUACCUUCUAGAUUCAGACAGGAAUUGCCGAUUCCUCCACAGGUAAGACUGACAGCACAAUCAAAGUUGAUUGCAUCCCUGUGGGGCCAAGCAACCUUCCAUCCUAUAGGGACAGCAAUAAGUAAUGCAUCUAUAUUAGUGGCAGGACUCAGCAUUUUCUUUGUGCUGUUCUUUCUUUGUGCAAGUCUUGGUGUUUGGAGUGCACGGAAAUUGUCGAAGCGAGAUUCAUUUGACGUUACUCCUGCUGCCCCAUCUGGUGAAGCUUAGGUGACCUUAAGAACAUCAAGACAUGAGAACCGAUGAGAAAAGAAGAAAUGAAAGUCCCAUUAGUUGGUAGCUAUUUAGAGGGCUAUUAUUUCCACAAGAGCAGAAUAUUAAAAAAAAAAAUAAAUUAUUGAAACUAAAGAAAUCUUACUUUCCAAAGUUGGCACACUUAAGUUAUGUCUAUACUAAUGAAUUAAACUUAGCACAGGAAUAUUGCAACUUCUGAGACUUAGCUGGAAUAAUCCUUGUUUAUGCUUAUGUUGUGUUCUACCUAUUGGGAACAGCUCCUAGAAGGCUCUAACUUCUAAGUAACAGUCAAGUUACAUGAAUAAACAGUAUUCCAGUAGAUGGGAGUUUCCUAGACAUUGUUUAAUUUAUUAGUCUAGAUGCAUAGCCUUAUUGUUUAAUGCUAUUUCUAAAUGAUAUGUUUGAUGUAUUACUCAUUUAGGGACUGGUAUUUUCAGUGAUUAAUCAAACCUCGCCACUGCAAACUUUAAUUUACUCACAGCACUGUGUUUGGCUGCUGCAUUGUAACUGUAAAAAGCUAGUCAUUUAAAUGUAAGUCUUGUUGUCAUAAGCUUAUUACAGUGCCUUAGGCUGGAGUGUAAAUCUACAGUUGAACUGUGUUACAUUUUCUCAGUUUGCAGAUGCUCCCAUGGGAAAGAAUAUUCUCUUGCCUUGACCUUGGGCAAAAGAUGAGCAUUCACACUGAGUGAUAGUGCAGCGUAAAAUCAUUCUGGCAUGUACUUCUGAGAAACUACAUAAGUUUAAGUGUGUGAAACCCAUGUUGUGACAAAACUACUACCCAAAUUCUGUAGCCCGAACAAAGGCAUGCUGUUGUUUUCAGCACAUCAUCUGUUUUAUAAGAGGCGGAGUAAGGAAAUUUCAGGAAAAACUAUUUUUAUAGAAUGUGAAAAAUAUGUUAAGACUUUGAUAACAUUUAUCCAUUAAAGUCAGCAACUCUCUCUCUGCGGUAUUCACUCCUCUAUAUAACUGAUGAACCUUUCUUAUACAAGUUCUAAUCCUUAAUAAUAAUAAUAAUCAUCUAGACUCAAAGCUGAAACCUAAAUUUUAUUGGAAGGAUACCAUCAUUAUUUUCCUAACUGAGUAGCACGUACUGUGUCAGAGACACACAGUGGCCGGUGACUGUGGUGGGGCUCUGCCUGAGCAAUGUGGGCAGUGUGGGGAAGAAGGGGCCAGCAGACGUUUGCCCAAAGAGCUGCGUUGCUAUAGCACGUCAGGAGAAAGAGAUCUGAAGAGGUAAGUCUGAGGCAGUCUGAGGUUGCUUUAUGAGAACAUUCCUGUGUGAGCUUUAGCAAAGGAACUUCAUUUCUGAAUUUGGGAGCCUGUAGUUCAAGACAAAAUUGUUAGCGUGUUUGUACCUCAUAUUUUUCUGUGAAGAUGAAUACUUCUGAGAGCAUGCAAUGUGUAGGUUCCACAGUAAUGAAGCUAUACUGAGAAGUGUACGUAUGAAGGAAAUCACAGAUUAUGUCUGCAAAUCAUACCAAGCCAGUUAUUUUUCUAGUAACAGUAGAGAAGAAUACUGUGCCAGCUUUCAGCUUGAAUUAUCAAUUGAUGUUCUAUGCAAAUAAAAACAUGCAAGUAUUUUUUUUGACAGUCUGCGUUUACUUCAUGAGUAAAUGCUUUACUUCAAUACGUUACUUUAUUUCAGAGAAGUAAAAUGUCUCUGUACAAAGUAAUGGUUGAAAAUUAGCCACUUUUUCUAUUUUCCCAAUACAGAAAGCUGUUUGUUGUGUCCAGUUAUCAGUUUAAGAAUGAGAUAAUUAUAUGAACUGUAUCUGCAGCAGUACUAUUUAGGAUGGGAGAGUUGUGCCAUAGCUGCCUUGUAUAUUAUUUUUUUAAAUGCACAUUGUAUGUGGUUGUGUUUUUUUUCCAUUAAAUAGGAGUUUAUUAUAUGCUUAAAUGCCUUCCUAGAUACUAGAUCAGGGUGCACUAGGCAACAAACUGAAUGUGGAAGAAAUAAGAAUAAACAUUUUUCUAUUUUCCAGGAAUAAUUAAUAUAAACCAUGUUUAUAUUGCUUUUUAUUAGAUAUCUGCAAACUUAAAGGUGAAUGACUCCACUUUUGGGAAUGUUUUUGUAGUGGCUGUAUUUUAUCUGAUCUUUUACAGAACUUCUUACUAGAAGUUUAAUACACUAGCUGUUAUUUUGUGUUCACUUUUUUGUUAUUGCAUUGUUUAAUGUUUGUGUAAAAUUCCCUCUAGCUUGGGUGACCAGUCCCAUGAGAGUGGAUGCUGAAUACUUAGCCAAUAAACUACCUGUGAACUUGAAAUUAUUUGGGUAAAUGAAGCCGGUGCAACAUUUGACCUGACACAUGCACUCACAAAGCUGUUUGCUUG
rnacentral:lncRNA from 1 species